GGGACAACCAUUGGGGAGGAGGUUGAACAGGUCAACAGCUUCCUCUCCCGAGCAGCCAUAUGUUCCAAGUACAUGUCAAAAGCUGUUCGCACAGAUAUACUUACCAUUCAAGCAAUUGGCUGGAACAAGCGGAAAGCAGAAAACCUUGACCGAACAUUGGCCAAAAGAUACAUCAAGACUAUGCAAAGGAUUACAGAAGCCACAAAGGACC